UCAAACUCAAGGUCUUACCAGAAUCUCUUGAGAAGGUAUGAGGAGCAAGUUGCGACUAACCAGAACUUUGUUCAACAAAAUGCGGUCUUGACUCGACGUGUGAAUCGAAGUGAUCGUGUUCUUGAGAUGGUUUGUCGCAAGAUUGAUAUACAGAUACCACCUGAUGUGCUUGAGGAAGAAGCUAAUGAUAUGGGAGGGACUGGACAAGGAUCCUCUCACGCUUCAAUCAAUAAUGUGGACAGCAACAGCGAUGGUCAUUGAAUAACCUAGGAUGUGGUGUGGAAAAUAUUUUGUUUCUAGAGAUUGGCAUGAUGGCUGCAAGUAUUUGAGACAGCAAUAGCUGUUGCAGAUCUUGAGAUUGGUAUGAUGGCUGCAAGUAUUUUGUGGUGUGGAAAAUAUUUUGUUCUUUGUACUAUGCAAUCUAGUAAAUGGCUGGAAAUGCCAUUUGCGCAUUGCUCUAUCACUUGUAUGACUGCCCUUGUGCAUUUGCUGUCUUAUGUUUAGCCAAACCUCUAAUGUAACUUGAUGUAUCGAUUAUAUGGCUGGAACUUGAUGUAUGAA